AGUGAACGCUGGCGGUAGGCCUAACACAUGCAAGUCGAACGGCAGCACAGUAAGAGCUUGCUCUUACGGGUGUCGAGUGGCGGACGGGUGAGUAAUACAUCGGAAUCUACUUUUUCGUGGGGGAUAACGUAGGGAAACUUACGCUAAUACCGCAUACGACCUACGGGUGAAAGCAGGGGAUCUUCGGACCUUGCGCGAUUGAAUGAGCCGAUGUCGGAUUAGCUAGUUGGCGGGGUAAAGGCCCACCAAGGCGACGAUCCGUAGCUGGUCUGAGAGGAUGAUCAGCCACACUGUAACUGAGACACGGUCCAGACUCCUACGGGAGGCAGCAGUGGGGAAUAUUGGACAAUGGGCGCAAGCCUGAUCCAGCCAUACCGCGUGGGUGAAGAAGGCCUUCGGGUUGGAAAGCCCUUUUGUUGGGAAAGAAAAGCAGCAGGUUAAUACCCCGCUGUUCUGACGGUACCCAAAGAAUAAGCACCGGCUAACUUCGUG
rnacentral:rRNA from 1 species